UGUCUAUAAUGGCAGGUGGCCACCACCGCCAUUUUGACCGUGUCACAGGUUCCGUCCAGCCCAGACAAUUCCAUAAAAGGGAAGAGAGGAGGUGCUGAGGGUGUGGCUGUAAGGCUGGGCUCGAGUGACGACACCCAGGCGAACUAGCUACGAGCUAACCUGAAGCUAACCCAAAAAAAAUAAUAAUAAUAAAAAAAAAAAAAACCUGAAGCUAACCCUGGCUAACCCAAAGCUAAAGCGGAGGUGGGAGCCGAGCUAACGGAUGUAGCCACCUAGCUUCAACCCAACCGGAGCUAACUGGAACACCCAUCGACCUGAACCUCACACGGAGUUUAGGUGGAGGUUUUCUGCGCCUGUUCGUGAGAAGUACCUGUAUUAAAAAAGAUUUAAAUCGAUCUGUUUAAAUGUCACCAUGGCAGCCUGUGUGUCUCCAACAUCAGCUACACAAAGCAGCUAGUCCAUUUGGAUCAUUGGAGACAGCUAUGUGAGGCGUGGUGCCCAGAGAGCUGCAGAGACAACCUUGGCCUCCCUGACGUCUGUGUCUCCUGGUUCGGUUGGGGCGGACCAUCGACAUACAUACAUGUGCCGACACUUUGCGCCCUGUUUUAUAAAAUUUAGUGUUAAAAAUAAAUGUUUUUGCUCAA